CCUUCCUUUCUUCUUUUUCUUUUCUUUCCAUUCUUCUCUCCUUCUCAUUUCUCCCUUCUUGUCUGUGCACCACACACACGAGAGAGAGAGAGCCACCGAAUGGAGAGAACGUGAGAGAUCCGGCCAUGAGAAGAAGGAAAAUAAAUUGGCUCGUGUCAUGAUUGGAGACUUCGAUUGAUUCUCCAAUGUAGAGUCCAAGUGACUAGAAUUCAGUGGAAUGUUGGAGUCAUGAGUCCUAUGUAGCCAAGAUGAUGCUCCUUUGGCUGCAGGUACUCCAGUCGUAGUUGAUAGUCUUGUAGUAGUGUACUUGGGAUGUUAUGACUGAAGCUCGCCGCGACGGUCGUAAUUGGUGGACUGCAGGUUGUCCACUGUCUAAGAGGUUUUGUAUGUGGCUUGUGCCGCUUGUGUCACUUAUUUCUUGUAAGCCAUUCUUGUUGUGUAAUUAUUAUAUUGAUAAGACUUAAAUGGAUAGAUGUUAAA